rnacentral:rRNA from 1 species
AUUGAACGCUGGCGGCAGGCCUAACACAUGCAAGUCGAACGGCAGCGGGGGGUAGCUUGCUACCCCGCCGGCGAGUGGCGGACGGGUGAGUAAUGCCUGGGGAGCUGCCCAAUCGAGGGGGAUACCAGUUGGAAACGACUGCUAAUACCGCAUACGCCCUGAGGGGGAAAGGUGGGGAUCUUCGGACCUAUCGCGAUUGGAUGCACCCAGGUGGGAUUAGCUAGUUGGUGAGGUAACGGCUCACCAAGGCGACGAUCUCUAGCUGGUCUGAGAGGAUGACCAGCCACACUGGAACUGAGACACGGUCCAGACUCCUACGGGAGGCAGCAGUGGGGAAUAUUGCACAAUGGGGGAAACCCUGAUGCAGCCAUGCCGCGUGUGUGAAGAAGGCCUUCGGGUUGUAAAGCACUUUCAGCGAGGAGGAAAGGGUGGCAGCUAAUACCUGUCAUCUGUGACGUUACUCGCAGAAGAAGCACCGGCUAACUCCGUGCCAGCCGCCGCGGUAA